UCGCUCUGUCACCCAGGCUGGAGUGCAGUGGCGUGAGCUCAGCUCACUGCAACCUCUGCCUCCAGGGUUCAAGUGUUCUCCUGCCUCAGCCUCCCAUAUAACUGGGAUUACAGGCGAGUACCACCAUGCCUGGCUAAUUUUUGUAUCUUUAGUAGAGACGGGGUGGUCUCGAACUCCUGACCUCAAGUGAUCUACGUGCCUCAGCCUCCCAAAGUUCUGGGAUUACAGGCGUGAGCCCUGCGCCCAGCCAAAGUGGUGUUUUUGUCUCCUGGGCAAUGUUGAAGGGUUAAUAACUAAGACUUUACUAAUGUAAGGUGCAUGAAGAAAAGUGUCACAAAAUAUUUUGCAGUUCAUCACCUAUUCACACUGUGACUUUGAUCAGGUCACUAACUUCUCAGUUUCCUCGUUUGUAAAAGGGGAUUAAAGAUAGGAUCUACCUGUGGCAAAGACUUCAUACUCAUGAUCCCUCAAGACCCAUUCUCACUUGGUUUUCAGCUGGGGCAAAUGGCUACACUGAAUAAUGACUACAUCUCCCAGCCUCCCUUGCAACUAUGUGUGGCCAUGUGGUACGUUCUGGCCAAUGGGAUGUGGGUAAAACUGUGGGAAAGUCCUUGAGAGUGUUGCCCUAUUUCUCCUCUUUCCGCCUUCCACUGAUCUGGAUUGCAGGUGCAAUGGCUGGAGACGGAGCAGCCAUCUGGAACAAGACGUCGUUUUCGGAAUGGAGAAUGAAGAACAUGCAACAAGACAGAAGAAAGUCGUUUUCCUGAUACUGUGGACCCAUCACACCAGCCCUGCACUACCUCAUACCAGAUUUUUAUGUCAUAGAAUCACUUGAACCCGGGAGGCAGAGGUUGCAGUGAGCUGAGACUGCGCCACUGCACUCCAGCCUGGCGACAGAGCUAGACUCUGUCUGAAAAAAAAAAAAAGAAAAUGGUCUGAUCACAAACAAAUUCACCUAGAAAUGAUAUCAUUUGAGUUGUUCUGUUAAUUAGUUUUAGCUGACAAAGCUCAGCCUUACACAUUUGCAUCACAUUUGCAUGGUAUUUUAAUUGGGAGGAAAGUCAUACAUUCUUUUCAAUAGCCAUGUUUACAAAUACAUAGCUUAAUUGUCCCACAUUUGAAACCCAGCUUUCAAAACAAUUUUUUUUUUUUUUGCUAGGUCUUAUAGGAUAGGACUGAUCAAAACAAUUUAGUCACAUUCUUUUCCAGGUCUUUCUCCAUUUCCAAAAACGUAUCUGGGCAUUUUUUUUUUUUCAGGAGCUAAUGGUCCUAGUUUAACUUUGUGCUUUGUAACCUAUGGAUGGGUUCAUUUCAUUUUUGUAUUUUUAGUAGAGAUGGGGUUUCACCAUCUUGGCCAGGCUGGUCUCGAUCUACUGACCUCGUGAUCUGCCCGCCUCAGCCUCCCAAAGUGCUGGGAUUAUAGGCAUGAGCCACUGUGCCCGGACAGUAUCGUUACUUUUAACAUUUAAUAACCACAAACAUUUAACAAUAUUAAAUAUAACAUUUGGGAAGAAGAUAUAAUGCCUGUUACUACCCUACAUUGAUUAAAAAACCAGUAAGUACUAAUAUUUUAAUACUGGGAUAAAGCAGUUAUUUUAUUUUUUAUUUUAUUAUUAUCUUUUGAGACAGUCUCAUUCACUCUGUCGCCUAGGCUGGAGUGCAUUGGUAUGACCUCG
rnacentral:lncRNA from 10 species